GCACCAGUGUUCUAGUGGUAGAAUAAUGCCCUUCCAUGGUACAGACCCUAGGUUUGAUUCCCGGCUGGUGCG
rnacentral:tRNA from 1 species